rnacentral:rRNA from 1 species
AGGGCACCACCAGGAGUGGAGCCUGCGGCUUAAUUUGACUCAACACGGGAAAACUCACCCGGCCCGGACACCGUAAGGAUUGACAGAUUGAGAGCUCUUUCUUGAUUCGGUGGUUGGUGGUGCAUGGCCGUUCUUAGUUGGUGGAGCGAUUUGUCUGGUUUAUUCCGAUAACGAGCGAGACUCUAGCCUACUAAAUAGAUCGUCAGCUUACAAACGCUGGCGAGACUUCUUAGAGGGACAGGCGGUGACUCAACCGCACGAAACAGAGCAAUAACAGGUCUGUGAUGCCCUUAGAUGUCCGGGGCCGCACGCGCGCUGCACUGAAGUGAUCAGCGUGCCUUUUCAGCCUACUCUGUCAAGAGUGGGAAACCCAAUGAACCUUCUUCGUGAUUGGGAUAGGGGAUUGUAAUUAUUCCCCUUGAACGAGGAAUUCCCAGUAAGCGCGAGUCAUAAGCUCGCGUUGAUUACGUCCCUGCCCUUUGUACACACCGCCCGUCGCUACUACCGAUUGAAUGUUUU